GAUGAACGCUGGCGGCGUGCCUAAUACAUGCAAGUCGAGCGAACAGACGAGGAGCUUGCUCCUCUGACGUUAGCGGCGGACGGGUGAGUAACACGUGGAUAACCUACCUAUAAGGCUGGGAAAACUUCGGGAAACCGGAGCUAAUACCGGAUAAUAUAUUGAACCGCAUGGUUCAAUAGUGAAAGACGGUUUUGCUGUCACUUAUAGAUGGAUCCGCGCCGCAUUAGCUAGUUGGUAAGGUAACGGCUUACCAAGGCAACGAUGCGUAGCCGACCUGAGAGGGUGAUCGGCCACACUGGAACUGAGACACGGUCCAGACUCCUACGGGAGGCAGCAGUAGGGAAUCUUCCGCAAUGGGCGAAAGCUUGACGGAGCAACGCCGCGUGAGUGAUGAAGGUCUUCGGAUCGUAAAACUCUGUUAUUAGGGAAGAACAAAUGUGUAAGUAACUAUGCACGUCUUGACGGUACCUAAUCAGAAAGCCACGGCUAACUACGUG
rnacentral:rRNA from 1 species